GACGAACGCGGGCGGCGUGCCUAAUACAUGCAAGUAGAACGCUGAGGUUUGGUGUUUACACUAGACUGAUGAGUUGCGAACGGGUGAGUAACGCGUAGGUAACCUGCCUCAUAGCGGGGGAUAACUAUUGGAAACGAUAGCUAAUACCGCAUAAGAGUAAUUAACACAUGUUAGUUAUUUAAAAGGAGCAAUUGCUUCACUGUGAGAUGGACCUGCGUUGUAUUAGCUAGUUGGUGAGGUAAAGGCUCACCAAGGCGACGAUACAUAGCCGACCUGAGAGGGUGAUCGGCCACACUGGGACUGAGACACGGCCCAGACUCCUACGGGAGGCAGCAGUAGGGAAUCUUCGGCAAUGGACGGAAGUCUGACCGAGCAACGCCGCGUGAGUGAAGAAGGUUUUCGGAUCGUAAAGCUCUGUUGUUAGAGAAGAACGUUGGUAGGAGUGGAAAAUCUACCAAGUGACGGUAACUAACCAGAAAGGGACGGCUAACUACGUGCCAGCAGCCGCGGUAAUACGUAGGUCCCGAGCGUUGUCCGGAUUUAUUGGGCGUAAAGCGAGCGCAGGCGGUUCUUUAAGUCUGAAGUUAAAGGCAGUGGCUUAACCAUUGUACGCUUUGGAAACUGGAGGACUUGAGUGCAGAAGGGGAGAGUGGAAUUCCAUGUGUAGCGGUGAAAUGCGUAGAUAUAUGGAGGAACACCGGUGGCGAAAGCGGCUCUCUGGUCUGUAACUGACGCUGAGGCUCGAAAGCGUGGGGAGCAAACAGG
rnacentral:rRNA from 1 species